rnacentral:rRNA from 1 species
CCUACGGGAGGCAGCAGUAAGGAAUAUUGGUCAAUGGGCGCAAGCCUGAACCAGCCAUGCCGCGUGCAGGAAGACGGCCCUAUGGGUUGUAAACUGCUUUUGAACAAGAGAAAACCUCGGUACGUGUACCGAGCUGAUAGUAUUGUUAGAAUAAGCAUCGGCUAACUUCGUGCCAGCAGCCGCGGUAAGACGAAGGAUGCAAGCGUUAUCCGGAUUCAUUGGGUUUAAAGGGUGCGUAGGCGGACCGAUAAGUCAGUGGUGAAAUCUCUCAGCUUAACUGAGAAACUGCCAUUGAUACUGUCAGUCUAGAGUAUAGAUGAUGUGGGCGGAAUAUGACAUGUAGUGGUGAAAUACUUAGAUAUGUCAUAGAACACCGAUUGCGAAGGCAGCUCACAAAACUAUAACUGACGCUGAGGCACGAAAGUGCGGGGAUCAAACAGGAUUAGAUACCCUGGUAGUCCGCACCGUAAACGAUGAUUACUCGUUGUUGGCAAUAUGACCGUCAGCGACCAAGCGAAAGCGANAAGUAAUCCACCUGGGGAGUACGCCGGCGAACGGUUGAAACGUCAAAUGAAAUUGACGGGCUUGGGAGAGCGACGACGGACGACGACGGAGGGAGGAGG